rnacentral:rRNA from 1 species
GACGAACGCUGGCGGCGCGCCUAAUACAUGCAAGUAGAACGCUGAAGAGAGGAGCUUGCUCUUCUUGGAUGAGUUGCGAACGGGUGAGUAACGCGUAGGUAACCUGCCUUGUAGCGGGGGAUAACUAUUGGAAACGAUAGCUAAUACCGCAUAACAAUGGAUGACCCAUGUCAUUUAUUUGAAAGGGGCAAUUGCUCCACUACAAGAUGGACCUGCGUUGUAUUAGCUAGUAGGUGAGGUAAUGGCGCACCUAGGCGACGAUACAUAGCCGACCUGAGAGGGUGGUCGGCCACACUGGGACUGAGACACGGCCCAGACUCCUACGGGAGGCAGCAGUAGGGAAUCGUCGGCAAUGGGGGCAACCCUGACCGAGCAACGCCGCGGGAGGGAAGAAGGGUUUCGGAUCGGAAAGCUCUGUUGUAAGUCAAGAACGGGUGUGAGAGUGGAAAGUUCACACUGUGACGGUAGCUUACCAGAAAGGGACGGCUAACUACGUG